rnacentral:tRNA from 2 species
GGAGAGAUGCCAGAGUGGUUGAACGGGACGGUCUCGAAAACCGUUUUACCCGCAAGGGUAACGUGGGUUCGAAUCCCACUCUCUCCG